AUUUCAUCUUAGCCACGCAGAAGUCGCUUGUCUAGUUUGUUUCGACGCCGGACCGCGUAAGAGACGAUGAUGUUGGGCACCGAAGGUGGAGAGGGAUUCGUGGUGAAGGUCCGGGGCUUGCCCUGGUCUUGCUCGGCCGAUGAAGUGCAGAGGUUUUUUUCUGACUGCAAAAUUCAAAAUGGGGCUCAAGGUAUUCGUUUCAUCUACACCAGAGAAGGCAGACCAAGUGGCGAGGCUUUUGUUGAACUUGAAUCAGAAGAUGAAGUCAAAUUGGCCCUGAAAAAAGACAGAGAAACUAUGGGACACAGAUAUGUUGAAGUAUUCAAGUCAAACAACGUUGAAAUGGAUUGGGUGUUGAAGCAUACUGGUCCAAAUAGUCCUGACACGGCCAAUGAUGGCUUUGUACGGCUUAGAGGACUUCCCUUUGGAUGUAGCAAGGAAGAAAUUGUUCAGUUCUUCUCAGGUAUGUAGUCAUGUUUGUUGCUGAGCAGUGAGUUUUGGUUAGCUUAUGGCAAGGUGAUUUAAUAGACCUUAAAGUUGAGUAGCUUAGGUAUUUUAAUAGGUUGUAAAUUGCCAAUGAAU
rnacentral:sRNA from 1 species